GGGCGGAUGGCAGAGCGGUCUAUUGCACCAGACUGUAAAUCUGGCGGGCUACGCCCUUCGGGGGUUCGAAUCCCUCUCCGCCCA
rnacentral:tRNA from 1 species